rnacentral:rRNA from 1 species
AGCGAACGCUGGCGGCAGGCUUAACACAUGCAAGUCGAACGGGCUUCUUCGGAAGUCAGUGGCAGACGGGUGAGUAACACGUGGGAACGCGCCCUUCGGUUCGGAAUAACUCAGGGAAACUUGAGCUAAUACCGGAUACGCCCUUUUGGGGAAAGGUUUACUGCCGAAGGAUCGGCCCGCGUCUGAUUAGCUUGUUGGUGGGGUAACGGCCUACCAAGGCGACGAUCAGUAGCUGGUCUGAGAGGAUGAUCAGCCACACUGGGACUGAGACACGGCCCAGACUCCUACGGGAGGCAGCAGUGGGGAAUAUUGGACAAUGGGCGCAAGCCUGAUCCAGCCAUGCCGCGUGAGUGAUGAAGGCCUUAGGGUUGUAAAGCUCUUUUGUCCGGGACGAUAAUGACGGUACCGGAAGAAUAAGCCCCGGCUAACUUCGUG